AUUGAACGCUGGCGGCAGGCCUAACACAUGCCAGUCGAGCGGAGCGGCGGACGGGUGAGUAAUGCCUAGGAAUCUGCCUGGUAGUGGGGGAUAACGUCCGGAAACGGGCGCUAAUACCGCAUCCUAUCAGAUUAGCCUAGGUCGGCUUAGCUAGUGGGUGGGGUAAAGGCAUACCAAGGCGACGAACCGUAACUGGGCUGAGAGGAUGAUCAGUCACACUGUAACGGAGACACGGUCCAGACUCCUACUGGAGGCAGCAGUGGGGAAUAUUGGACAAUGGGCGAAAGCCUGAUCCAGCCAGUCCGCGUGUGUGAAGAAGGUCUUCGGAUUGUAAAGCACUUUAAGUUGGGAGGCGUUACCAACAGAAUAAGCACCGGCUAACGUCGUGCCAGCAGCCGCGGUAAUUC
rnacentral:rRNA from 1 species